UACGGAGGGUGCAAGCGUUAAUCGGAAUUACUGGGCGUAAAGCGUGCGCAGGCGGUUUGUUAAGUCUGCUGUGAAAUCCCCGAGCUCAACUUGGGAAUUGCAGUGGAUACUGGCAAGCUGGAGUACGGUAGAGGAAGGUGGAAUUCCCGGUGUAGCAGUGAAAUGCGUAGAGAUCGGGAGGAACACCAGUGGCGAAGGCGGCCUUCUGGACCAGUACUGACGCUCAUGCACGAAAGCGUGGGGAUCAAACAGG
rnacentral:rRNA from 1 species